GGUAUCGGAUGGUGGGAUGGGUGAAAUACGGGCUGGACUGCUGGAUGAUGGAUGGCGAGGGGAAGUGCAGGGAGGAAGCUGAGGCACGGGGACUUCCUGCUGACAGACAGACACACACACAAAGAGAGAGUUCUAGGUCUUCCAUGCCCGUGGGAACUGUCUAACCUCUCAAAACCAUCACAAACAGAUGUUUACAGACAAAGCGCCACAGUGUAACGAGGUGAAAGAGGGUGCAGGAGAAUGAAAAAUAGGAGGAGAUGAUAUCCGUGUCAGCCCAGGGCAUGAGGAAGCGAUCCGGCGUAUGAAUGAAACGCGAGCGGGUUCACAGACUGCUCGUGUACUCUGGGCGACAGCAGAUUUAAUGAUAAAUGACACCGUCACCUUGCAGAGUUGCCAAAGCCUCAUUCAGGUAGUGAAUCACCUUUGGAGCGUAGCACAGUUCACACUCUCACACACUCACACGCGCUCGGAGCGCCACCACCGCCAUCAUCGGUGUAACAGAUGUCUUCUGUAACCCAGCAGCUCCCAACGCUGUCGACACAUGGUGGAGCCAUCUGGACCAGAGCUCUGGUGCUCCACAGACUGUGUGUGUGUGUGUGUGUGUGUGUGUUUCAAGUGUUCAGGGGUGGGGUGGGUGUAAAUAUAUGUGUGUGUUGUGUUGUGUAUUCCCAUGACAUCAGGAGCACCUGAGCAUGCUGGCAUUUUUUGGGUGGGAUUUACCCAUGUUUCCCUAGAUUAAGAUCUGUGCGACUGUGUGUUUAUCAUGACGUGGGCGGCAGUGAAUGUGAUUAGAUGAAGGAGGACCCUCAGGCCAGAAACACACUCUAUGCAAGUACACAAGUUCCCAUUGUAUGUACAUAGCUUGCAUUCUUGCAUUACUGCGGCUACUCCUGCGUAAUCUAUUUGUGCGUACUCAAAGGGGUGAUAGAGUUACCUUCAAAUGUCUCUGCCAUAAAGUCAACGUGAAUCGCCCGAUCUGAUGGACUUCACAGUGAAACAGGAGAUGCAGCGAGAAAAAAGUUAAAGCUGGAAUUGUUUUUUGUUUUGGGUAAUUGAUUGGAUAGUAACACAUUGUCUCUGUAUGACAUUAUAAUAAUAAAUAUAUAAUCAUCAUUGCA